GAAGGUGGCAAGCGUUGUUCGGAAUCACUGGGCUUAAAGCGCGCGUAGGCGGAAUAGAUAGUGUCUUGUGAAAUCCCUCGGCUUAACCGAGGAAUUGCGAGGCAAACUUCUAUUCUUGAGGCAAGUAGGGGUACAUGGAACUCUUGGUGGAGCGGUGGAAUGCGUAGAUAUCAAGAGGAACGCCAAAGGUGAAGACAGUGUACUAGGCUUGUCCUGACGCUGAGGUGCGAAAGCGUGGGGGAGCGAAAGGGAUUAGAUACCCCUGUAGUCCACGCUGUAAACGAUGUCUACUAGGUUGCGGGUGUUCUGACACAGUCGCAGUCGAAGCAAAAGUGUUAAGUAGGCCGCCUGGGAGUACGGUCGCAAGGCUA
rnacentral:rRNA from 1 species